rnacentral:lncRNA from 1 species
GAAGCUCAGUCAGUGACAGGGUAAUAAUAGUUGUCAUAACAACUGGAGGGUAGAGAUGGCAAUAUAAAGGAGAAGAGGACAGCAGUAGCCCCAAGCCUCCAGAUGGUGGUGGAAAGAGACAAUAUUGUAAUGGAAGGCAUGAAAGAGGAAUAGAGGAGAGAGGAGCACAGUAGCUCAAAUUGAUGUCUUUGAAGUCUUGAGGGCAGGGAACAUGUGGCCAGAUUGAUGAUACGGGAUUUCAAACAGCAUCAGCUCCAGCCAGAAUGGUUAAUGUUCUGUUUUGGCCUUGGGUUCAAAUAACAGCACCAAAUAGGAGUCCAGGAGGAACUCAAAUUUAUUUAUUGUUUCUAGGUAGGGCAUCAUUAAAUAUUUGUUAUCUCCUAAAGUUGGUUGAGAAGUGGGAUUAUUAUUUUCCACAUGAAUUCCUACUAAAUUGGAUGGAGAAAGCAUCAAAAUGUUGACCAAGCAAACUAAAUUGGGAUGAAUGUAAAAUGGUGGCAAUUCUGUGCAUUCUUAAGAGAAUUCUGUACAUAUUCCAGCUUUCUACACCAUACUAUGUAAUGUCCAUUCCCUGAUAUUAAUUAAAAUAUGCAUUAAUGUAAUAAAUGACCAAAAAUAUCUUCCUCCUUGGUUUUG